UAGACUGCACCUAACGCUACAGAGUUCAUAAAAAUAACCAAGCUAGCUAAUAGCUUAUUGCUGAGUAACGAGGUUUGAUAAUUGGGAGAUAACAUAGACUAAAAUUAAAACGAAUUUAAAGGAAAAAAAUCGCUGCUGGAGGGUGAAGGGUGGCAGUACUGAGUCGACUAGCUGCUUUAAACCCACAAGGAAGAACCACUCUCUGCGCAUGCGCGUAUGUGAAAGAUGACUGUGGUGUAGUUCCUUCUUUUAUUUUACAGCAUGGCUUUGGUUCCUUAUGUAGAAAAUCCCUUACCAGCGCUUUCCAAAUUGAACAAUUCAUCCGCGCAGUUUCGGUUUGCAAACCACGACCUGAGUCUUGCCCAAGACUGGAAAAACCUCGGGGUGGCAGCAGUUGUGUGGGAUGCGGCGGUUGUCAUGUGUAUGUACCUGGAGCUGGGGAAGGUGGAGUUAAAGGGGAAGGAGGUGAUUGAGCUGGGAGCCGGGACUGGACUGGUGGGCAUUGUAGCAGCCUUGAUGGGUGCCAAAGUGACCAUCACUGACAGAGAACCUGCUCUGGAUUUUCUGUCAGCAAACGUGAAGGCCAACCUGCCCCCAGAAUCCCAGGAGUCAGUGUUUGUGUCAGAGCUGUCAUGGGGUGAGGGCCUUGAGCGCUACCCAGCUGGGGGGUUCGAUCUCGUUCUGGGAGCGGACAUCAUUUACCUGGAGGACACCUUUGUGCCGCUGCUGCACACUCUGGAGCACUUGUGCUCGGACACUACGGUGGUUUUGCUCGCCUGCAAGAUCCGUUACAAGCGUGACACGAACUUUCUGAGCAUGCUGAAACAGCAGUUCGCAGUUGAAGAGGUCUACUUUGACAGACAAAGGGACAUUCAUGUAUAUAAAGCCUGGAAACUGACAGCAAGGAGGGAUCUGUGAACACACAUAAGCAACCGUUGUCUACCUUCAUUUUGUAUUUUAUUCUCCACCUUGUACAACCACUUGGUUGCUUGGAACGAGGAUCUGCUGCCCAUCACUGGUCUGGGCGUACUGCAGGAUCGUUGCACCAGACUGGGCUCCAGCAGCGUUGGCCAUGGUCAGAGUCUGCAGGCCCUGCACUCCAUCUGUGCCGUUAUUGGCCAGCUGAAUGGCUCCUCCCUGAGUAAUGGCAACUGCAGAGGGAUUGUAUGGGAGUGGGCAUGGUGACUGUGGUGAUGGCAGGAGCUGAGUCGUCCUCCGACUUCUCUUCCUCAAUUCGAGGCACCGCUGGAACGUCUGACGAUAAGUCGUUUAAAAUCUUU